UUAGCGGGAUAAUAAAAAGCAGUUGAGUCUGUCGUAUAUCACUCUCGCGUAGAUUUUGUAGGUCUGUUUUUUUUUGAGCUUUGUGAAAUUUGAGCGUCAAUUUUUACGUUCAGUCUCACCUCUUGACCUUUUCAGCGUCUUUCUGUCUGAAUUAUUAUUAUUACAAAUAUAAUUAACUUGGAAAAAACUCUAAUAAAUAGAUUUUAGUGGGCAUUUUUAUUUUUACUUAAAUAUUUGGGCUUUUUCACAUUUUUUUUUUUUUUUAUUUCUAAAAUUAACCAUUUUUCCCUUUGUAUAUAUUAGUUGACAUUUAUUGUUUAUUGACUUACAAUUAAAUUACAGUGAGUGAGAGAGAAGAUAUUAGUGAUGAAAUAAAUAUACGCAUAAUAAUUGAAUUUAGCUUUCAGGUAUCAAAAGUAAUUAAAACUUUGACUUGACCCUAAAUUAUAUGUUUACAUUAACAAUUGUCUACAAAGGUUCUCGUUAAAAUUCGCGAAAUUUCGCUUGAAUUUAUUCUAAUCUCACAAAGUAGAAAAUAUUCUGAUAUAUUUGAAAAUAAAUUUUUAUAGGCAUCCGUUUCUUGAAGGAUGGGCGUUUGUUGCAGAGCAGCUCCUGGAGGAGAUCGGGCAUAGCUGAGCGCAGUUCAAUACAGUUGGUGCAGAAAAGAGGGAAAACUUGUCCGUUUCGAAAGAAAAGAUGCUGUCAUCGUAUAUUUCUACCACGAUGCAGAAAUUUGCAAUAUCAUUGCCGAAGGACAGGAAGGAUGUGGACGAAGAAAAGCGGCCCCAGUAUGCUGCCGUAUUUUUUUUUAUAAUUUUUUUUUUUUUUGGCGGUAGUGUAGCUCUUGACCUGUGCAGAAGUGCAAUCAAGAGCAGGGAUCUUCGAGAGUGGUCCAUGAAGAAACAGAAAGGGGCAAUAUUGCUCCCACGUGGGAUUCACCGAUUGGUGAGUCGUUUUUUGAUUUUCUGUUUUAAUUUUUCUUAAUUGUAUUAAAUAUUUCUUUGUACUUGUAUUAUAACAUUUUUUCAGUUAUCGUGGUGAGCGAUAAUAUUUUUACAAUUAUAUUAAUCAUUUUUCCCUUUUAGGAAUUUGUUUUGUAUUUUAUUAA